UAGGGAAUCUUCGGCAAUGGACGAAAGUCUGACCGAGCAACGCCGCGUGAGUGAAGAAGGUUUUCGGAUCGUAAAACUCAGUUGUUAGAGAAGAACAAGGACGUUAGUAACUGAACGUCCCCUGACGGUAUCUAACCAGAAAGCCACGGCUAACUACGUGCCAGCAGCCGCGGUAAUACGUAGGUGGCAAGCGUUGUCCGGAUUUAUUGGGCGUAAAGCGAGCGCAGGCGGUUUCUUAAGUCUGAUGUGAAAGCCCCCGGCUCAACCGGGGAGGGUCAUUGGAAACUGGGAGGCUUGAGUGCAGAAGAGGAGAGUGGAAUUCCAUGUGUAGCGGUGAAAUGCGUAGAUAUAUGGAGGAACACCAGUGGCGAAGGCGGCUCUCUGGUCUGUAACUGACGCUGAGGCUCGAAAGCGUGGGGAGCAAACAGG
rnacentral:rRNA from 1 species